rnacentral:rRNA from 1 species
UACGGGGGGGGCAAGCGUUGUUCGGAAUUACUGGGCGUAAAGGGCUCGUAGGCGGCCAACUAAGUCGGACGUGAAAUCCCCAGGCUCAACCUGGGAACUGCGUCUGAUACUGGGAGGCUUGAGUAUGGGAGAGGGAUGUAGAAUUCCAGGUGUAGCGGUGAAAUGCGCAGAUAUCGGGAGGAACACCAGUAGCGAAGGCGGCUCGCUGGGCCGUUCCUGACGCUGAGACGCGAAAGCUAGGGGAGCGAACAGG